GACUCCAGGGGGACAAGGGCAUCGCCUCCUCUUGUUGAAAGACACUCCCUCCUGAUGGAGAAUGGACACUCCCCUCCUGCAGCGGCCUGCCCUCAGCAGUCCUGGUAGGGCAGUGUGGACGCUGUAGGCUGCUGGAGCUCCCGUCGCCCCAGACAGAAAGUACCCCAGAGCC
rnacentral:other from 1 species